rnacentral:rRNA from 1 species
GAUGAACGCUGGCGGCGUGCCUAAUACAUGCAAGUCGAGCGAACAGAUGAGGAGCUUGCUCCUCUGACGUUAGCGGCGGACGGGUGAGUAACACGUGGAUAACCUACCUAUAAGACUGGGAUAACUUCGGGAAACCGGAGCUAAUACCGGAUAAUAUAUUGAACCGCAUGGUUCAAUAGUGAAAGACGGUUUUGCUGUCACUUAUAGAUGGAUCCGCGCCGCAUUAGCUAGUUGGUAAGGUAACGGCUUACCAAGGCAACGAUGCGUAGCCGACCUGAGAGGGUGAUCGGCCACACUGGAACUGAGACACGGUCCAGACUCCUACGGGAGGCAGCAGUAGGGAAUCUUCCGCAAUGGGCGAAAGCUUGACGAAGCAACGCCGCGUGAGUGAUGAAGGUCUUCGGAUCGUAAAACUCUGUUAUUAGGGAAGAACAAAUGUGUAAGUAACUAUGCACGUCUUGACGGUACCUAAUCAGAAAGCCACGGCUAACUACGUG